rnacentral:rRNA from 1 species
GGUUGCCAUCAUACCAGCAAUAAUGCACCGUAUCCCAUCAGAACUCCGCAGUUAAGCGUGCUUGGGCGAGAGUAGUACUAGGAUGGGUGACCCACUGGGAAGUCCUCGUGUUGCAACCC